CUCGGAGCUUUGCUGAAACUGCACAAAAAAUCGAGCUGGGGGGUUCCCUGGUCCCCGAUGUUGGGGCGGAGAGCGCGGCGCCGAGGGAGGGGGCGGCGCAGACCGGCCUAGGGGACACCUGGUCGAGCGCAGCCGCCGCUCCGCUCGAGCCCUGCGCUCCAGUGCCCCCACUGGCUGGAGAGCUCGCCCAGACCGGGGGUCUUCCUCCGUCGCUGACAGGUUUAACAAUGUUAAAAUGAAGAUAUUACUAAAAUGGCCCUCUAAAUAGCCCAACAAUUAUUAUUUUCUUUGUCCUAUGGAUUUGGCUUUGAAAGAUGUGCUGCUCUUAAUAAGCAUUAAUUCUCUCUCUCGGGCAGAAACCUACGUGUUCCUCUUCCAGAGAGCUGGUGAAGCCAAAGGCAUUCUCAUAAUGAUGCGCUACACCGACUGACAUUUACCAACUGUGUCAAAGCUACAGGAGCCAGGUAGACACUGCUGGAACUUUAACGGGAAUCAAACAAGUCUAUAAGAAGCACUGAGCUGUGCCACUACCCAAUCAGUGUUCUUCCAGAGCACACAAACGAAAGUGGGAGGAGCCUUCCAAUGAGAACUGUUGUGUGAUUAAUCAAUGAGGCUGACUAAAGCACACACUUAUAAUCCCAAUACUCAGAAAGACAGAGGAAGAAGGAUAUCAGCGCAAGGCCAACAAGGCUUCAAAGCAAGUACCAACCCAGUAUGGACCAUGAGACCCUAUUUCAGAAACAAAUAAUAAAAGCUUGAUGAAGCUGCAAAAAUUA
rnacentral:lncRNA from 1 species